AGAACGAACGCUGGCGGCAGGCCUCAAACAUGCAAGUCUAGGGGGUGUAGCAAUACAUCACCGGCGGACGGGUGCGUAACGCGUGGGAAUGUACCUAUUGGUUCGGAACAACACAGGGAAACUUGUGCUAAUACCGAAUGUGCCCGAAAGGGGAAAGAUUUAUCGCCAAUGGAUCAGCCCGCGUUCGAUUAGCUAGUUGGUGAGGUAAUGGCUCACCAAGGCGACGAUCGAUAGCUGUUCUGAGAGGAAGAUCAGCCACACUGGGACUGAGACACGGCCCAGACUCCUACGGGAGGCAGCAGUUGGGAAUCUUGGACAAUGGGGGAAACCCUGAUCCAGCCAUGCCGCGUGAGUGAUGAAGGCCUUCGGGUUGUAAAACUCUUUCGCGCACGACGAUAAUGACGGUAGUGCGAGAAGAAGCUCCGGCUAACUUCGUGCCAGCAGCCGC
rnacentral:rRNA from 1 species